UACGGAGGGUGCAAGCGUUAUCCGGAUUCACUGGGUUUAAAGGGUGCGUAGGCGGGUAAGUAAGUCCGUGGUGAAAUCUCUGAGCUUAACUCAGAAACUGCCGUGGAUACUAUUUGCCUUGAAUAUUGUGGAGGUGAGCGGAAUAUGUCAUGUAGCGGUGAAAUGCGUAGAUAUCAAGCGGAACACCGGUGGCGAAGGCGGCCUUCUGGACAGUGACUGACGCUGAGACGCGAAAGCGUGGGGAGCAAACAGG
rnacentral:rRNA from 1 species